ensembl:snRNA U6 U6 spliceosomal RNA
GUGCUCACUUCAGCAGCACAUAUACUAAAAUUGGAACGAUACAGAGAUUAGCAUGGCCCCUGCGCAAGGAUGACACGCAAAUUUGUGAAGCGUUCCAUAUUUUU